UGAGUACGAGCUGCUACGGCAGCGAAGUGGGUGACGUCAAGCUUCCAAGAAAAGCCCUAUACCCGUUAAGGCAUGAUGGCCUGUACCCGAAACCGACACAGGUGGGGUGGUAGAGAAUACCGAGGGGCGCGAGAUAACUCUCUCUAAGGAACUCGGCAAAAUGGCCCCGUAACUUCGGGAGAAGGGGUGCCACCGCAAGGUGGUCGCAGUGAAGAGGCCCAGGCGACUGUUUACCAAAAACACAGGUCUCCGCUAAGUCGCAAGACGAUGUAUGGGGGCUGACGCCUGCCCAGUGCCGGAAGGUUAAGGAAGCUGGUCAGCGCAAGCGAAGCUAGCGACUGAAGCCCCGGUGAACGGCGGCCGUAACAAUAACGGUCCUAAGGUAGCGAAAUUCCUUGUCGGGUAAGUUCCGACCCGCACGAAAGGCGUAACGAUCUGGGCGCUGUCUCGGAGAGAGGCUCGGCGAAAUAGAAUUGUCUGUGAAGAUGCGGACUACGUGCACCCGGACAGAAAGACCCUAUGAAGCUUUACUGUAGCUUGGUAUUGUGCUCGGGCUCGGAAUGCGCAGGAUAGGUGGGAGGCUAUGAACCAUUGCUUGUGGGUGAUGGUGAGCCACUGGUGAGAUACCACUCUUUCCGAGCUAGAGUUCUAACAGCCACCCGUUAUCCGGGGGCCGGACAGUAUCAGGUGGGCAGUUUGACUGGGGCGGUCGCCUCCUAAAAGGUAACGGAGGCGCGCAAAGGUUUGCUCAGGCUGGUUGGAAAUCAGCCGACGAGUGUAAAAGCAGAAGCAAGCUUGACUGUGAGACCUACAAGUCGAGCAGGGAGGAAACUCGGCUUUAGUGAUCCGACGGUUCUGCGUGGAAGGGCCGUCGCUCAACGGAUAAAAGUUACUCUAAGGAUAACAGGCUGAUCUCCCCCAAGAGUUCACAUCGACGGGGAGGUUUGGCACCUCGAUGUCGGCUCAUCGCAACCUGGGGCUGAAGUCGGUCCCAAGGGUUGGGCUGUUCGCCCAUUAAAGCGGUACGCGAGCUGGGUUCAGAACGUCGUGAGACAGUUCGGUCCAUAUCCGGUGCAUGCGCAGGAAUAUUGAGAGGAUUUCUCCCUAGUACGAGAGGACCGGGAGGAACGCACCUCUGGUGUACCAGUUAUCGUGCCAACGGUAAACGCUGGGUAGCCAUGUGCGGAGAGGAUAACCGCUGAAAGCAUCUAAGUGGGAAGCCCACCUCAAGAUGAGUAUUCCCAUGGGUUAACCCAGUAAGGUCACGGGAAGAACACCCGUUGAUAGGCUCUACGUGGAAGCGCAGUAAUGUGUGAAGCGGAGGAGUACUAAUAGACC
rnacentral:rRNA from 1 species